GGUCGGGAGAUAAUCUCGACUGCCUGAUAACAACAACCGGCUCGUCCUCCUCCAGCGGACCGGGACCGUCGACGGGAGGAUAAAUUUAGCCCGCAGGGAUCAACUGUUUCCCGGUCAGCUGCCCAAGUUCAUCCGUGUGUAAUCUGCAGAGUAACCAGUAACUGGAGGAUUGUAAAGAAAAUGAAAUACUGGAUGACCCGAUGACGUCUGACCAGCUGAGCCAGUAGAACCAGUAGAACCAGGGAGGCUUCGCCCCAGUUCAUCUCAUCUUUCUGCCCCAUAUUGUGAUCCAGAUCAUCGGGUCACUGAUCAGCUGACCGUCAUCAGUCUCUCCUCUGGAUCCGGGUUCAGAGUCGACCUCCUGGUUCUCCUCCUGUUCGCAGCAUCAUGAGUGACGGCAGGGGCUGGCUGCUCCGCGGGGGGUCAGCUGGUCCUGGAGGGAAGAAAGCCCGGCUCUCAGCCCGGAGGUCAACAAGACCUGCACCCUUGACCCGCCCCCCCGAACCACAGACACCUCAGUGAUCACCUGGACCGGACCUUCCAGUGUAACAGAUUAGAGACCCACUGCAGGAGGAGGACCAGCUCCAGCCAGGUGACGCUGCACAGCAGAUGAGGCCCGACUCAGUCCAGACUGAGGCUCUACACAGGCUGGGCGGCUGUGGAGAGAGUGGUCUACCACAUUGAGUCUGAUGUAGAAAACAAGACUUCCAGGUCGCGGCGUCCCGUUCGGUGACAUGGCAGGAUCGUUUGUCCCUCGUGGGAGUUUCCCCCCCGGACACUUCCCUCAGCUCCUCAGGCUGGCUGCUGUCCCCUCCAGGUCCUCCACCCUGCAGGGGGGCGGAGGUGGAAGCAGUGUCAGAGGUGGAAGUGGAUGAAGUUUCCAGAUGCUCCACCAGUGUUUGGACUGCUGACAGUGCAGCUCCGGUCUCUAUCUUUUCAGAACAUUUAAAGGGUCCAAAGGAUCAGAUUUCCAUGCAUCACGUUUUUUUUUUUUUUUUUGUGGGUGCAUUCAAAGAUACAUGUAUCAAAAUAGUUCUUGGAUUGUUAAUUCAAAUAAUGGCUUAAAUUCGUG